rnacentral:misc_RNA from 1 species
UCGUAUGGUGUCGUACGGCCUGUAC